rnacentral:rRNA from 1 species
UACGGAGGGUGCAAGCGUUUGUUCGGAAUCAUUGGGCGUAAAGAGCGCGCAGGCGGUCUAUCAAGUCAGAUGUGAAAUAUCCAGGCUUAACCUGGAGGGGUCAUUUGAAACUGGUAGACUAGAGUACAGCAGAGGAUAGUGGAAUUCCCGGUGUAGUGGUGAAAUGCGUAGAUAUCGGGAGGAACACCAGUGGCGAAGGCGGUUGCCUGGGGCUUUGCUGACGCUGAUGCGCGAAAGCGUGGGGAGCGAGUCGG